rnacentral:lncRNA from 1 species
CCACUUUUACUAGAACAUCAUGGAGGACUCUUAUGGUGUUUUUGAUGGAUCGAUCGUCCAUGAGCAACUUCAUUUGGUUGGGCUUUGGCUUACCCAACCCAUGUUUUUGAAAUAUAGCAUAAGGCAUAAGGUUCACACUUUCUCCAAGAUCACAUAAUGCAUUAGCAAAAGUGAAUGUGCCAAUGGUGCAUGAGAUUGUAAAAGCACCAGGAUCCUUCUUCUUUUUAAAAUAUACGCUUGUCAUAUGGAACUACAAUGGUGAGUCAUCUUUACGGUUUUGUCCUCCAACAAGUUUUU